rnacentral:rRNA from 1 species
GACGAACGCUGGCGGCGUGCUUAACACAUGCAAGUCGAACGGAAAGGCCCUGCUUUUGUGGUGUGCUCGAGUGGCGAACGGGUGAGUAACACGUGAGUAACCUGCCCUUGACUUUGGUAUAACUUCAGGAAACUGGGGCUAAUACCGGAUAGGAGCUCCUGCUGCAUUGUGGGGGGUGGAAAGUUUCGGCGGUUGGGGAUGGACUCGCGGCUUAUCAGCUUGUUGGUGGGGUAGUGGCUUACCAAGGCUUUGACGGGUAGCCGGCCUGAGAGGGUGACCGGCCAAAUUGGGACUGAGAUACGGCCAGGACUCCUCCGGGAGGAAGCAGUGGGGAAUAUUGCACAAUGGGCGGAAGCCUGAUGCAGCAACGCCGCGUGCGGGAUGACGGCCUUCGGGUUGUAAACCGCUUUCGCCUGUGACGAAGCGUGAGUGACGGUAAUGGGUAAAGAAGCACCGGCUAACUACGUG